GCUGCUGAAUAGCUGAGAGGCGCACCCGGGCGGCCAGCUGGGCUCGGAGUGCAGCGGGGUUAGGAUGGACGAGGACGUGUUGCACCCUGAAGAGCCUCAUCAUCGCCUGCUCUUGAGGUUCACAGAUGAUACCUUUGAUCCAGAACUUGCAGCAACAAUAGAACAUGAACUUCAUGAGGACAGAGACUUGGGCUUAUUCACCACCAAGUCCCCAGUUCCUAACUCCAGUCCUUUGGAGUUAGAAGCAGGUUGCCCAAAGUUCAUGAUGCAGAAAAACCAUUUUUUCCGAGAUUUAUAGGAUAAGUCCUGUAAUUCCAGAUUGCUUGGCGCCAAUCAGGUACUCAAUAAAUGUUUGUUGAGUGAAUAUGUGAA
rnacentral:lncRNA from 1 species